UUUUAACACAUUGACUUCUAUCCGUUAAGUAGCUACUAAACCAAUUGUGUGCUACUCCUCUAAUACCUACUCGGAUAAGUUUCUGCAAAAGUAUUGGAAUGGAGACAAAUUCAAAUUCAAAAUAAUCUUUAUUUCAUAGGACAAAGAUUCUAUUGAUAUCGGCGGCAUUACCCCAGUGUCAAAUGCCUUAGUGAGAUCAAGGAACACCCCAAGACAGCGUCUGUUGUUGUCCAAGGCAGAAGAGAUCAGAUUCGUCAGGAGUAACACGGCAUCCUCUGUUGAUUUACCACGCCUGAAACCAAAUUGCCUAUCAGACUUUUUUACAAAACAAUGAUCCAGACAUGCUUCACCUCGGGUUGGCUUAGUGAUAGCUGGCAGCAGUUGGUGCUCUGUUAAGAUACAUAAGUAUUCUGAGCACUGCUCACUCAAAGGUACGGAACAUAUAUCGAGAUUCAGAUCGCCAGUAAUUAUGAUAUUACGCAAACUCCUGGCAUUACAUAGGACAGCGUCCAGAGAACGAAGGAAGCCGCUGGCAUUUGUGAAGGACGGGGAGCGGUAUAUACUAAAGAUCAUAAGGUCAUUUGAGAUAAUGAUUUGUUAAAAUGAAACAUGUGAAAUGCAAAAGUGUAUGCGAAUUCACUGCAAAAACGUGAUGACAAUCAUCAAAUCACAAAAGCACUAAAAUGGUUACGCUACCUGUAGCAGCAGAUGGCAUUCACCCAUUUGAGAUUUCUGCAUCGCGGAGUUAAAUUUAUUUUCCGUGGCCUCGCCCUUUUGUCCGGUGGCGCAACCAAGUCCAGCCAGCAGCAGUUGGCCGCUAAAUAUCUUUCAGAAAAAACACCUACGUAAAACGAUUCGACUGUGCAAUAUUA